CAAAAUACAAUGUUACCCAAAAGCUAGAAAGUAAUGUACAUGUCUGUUUUAUUAUAAAAUAAAAUGGGGGGAAAAAAACUUUUUUUUAAGGAACAAGAAACUCGUUGUUCGUCUUUAAAUUUGGUGUGCUGGUUUAAGUCUGACUGUAAGGGGUAGGAAGGAUAGUACCAGGAAUCCAGGAAACAGUCGACUCAGACGUGUUCAACACUGGGUCUGAGUGAUGACCAGGUUGGAGGUGUCGGCCAACUGUGGAGUGUGCUGGGACCCAGAAGGAAAUGAGCUCCAUGUUUUAACAGAUGAGUAUAAAAUAACAUACUAACACUUGUGCAUAUGUGUGAGUGGGCUGCUCACCCGGUGUUGUGUGUGUCUGAGGGCCUUUAUCUUCCUUGCAGAACAGAACCCCAGUGAGGCCAUGUGCAAUUUGGGACAACUUUGAUCUUUUGGAAGUUGGACAACAUGCUUUUUUGUGGACACUUGGGUCCCAAAUUUCAGUGAGGACCAGGCGAAAUAUCCAGAAUGGAGGAAGAACAGGGAACAAGAACUGAGUUUCCAGCAGCAGGAAGAUUUUGUGUCGGUGAAAUCUGAUGAUAAAAAUGAAACUGCCUGACCAUGGCCACCGGUGAAGAAGGAAGCAACAACCCACUAACACAGCAACCACAACAGUGGCAGACUGGGGCAAAAAAGUGGCCCGGGAAUUUAGUACCCGACUGGUUCACUAAGGGACUGCGGUAGAUGCUGGAGGUGGAUGUUGGUGAUGGAUGAUGAAGGAAGAAGAACAGUCUGAGCUGAUCCUGAGACCAGGAGACUGGGUCCUGAAUAAAGUCAUCAAAAAGAAGCAUUGGCAUUCUCCGUGGUGCGACGGUCCAUAUCGGGUGCUUUUAAUCACACUCACUGCUGUGAAGAUCGCCCAGAGGUCAGCGUGGAUUCAUCUUUCCCACUGCAACAAAGUACCAGUUAGUGUCCCAGACCCACUAGGGAAGAGUUUGACUUCAAAGGGGUUCGGGACCCAUAUGGCCGCUCGUCUCAAUGUCAGCGGAAGAAACCAUCGGCUCGGUGGGUCAUUUAGGGAGUACUAGUUGGCAGAGAAGGACAAGGGCAUCGUCGACAUGGGGGAGAACACCAUUGCAGACUCAGAUGGAAAAUAUUCCAACAGUGUGAGUCAUGGACUUGUACGAUUGUAAUGCUAAUGAUGAUUUUAACAAUACAUUUUAGGGAUGUGUGGUUGAGUGAGAUGUCUGGG